rnacentral:rRNA from 1 species
GACGAACGCUGGCGGCGUGCUUAACACAUGCAAGUCGAACGGAAAGGCCCUGCUUUUGUGGGGUGCUCGAGUGGCGAACGGGUGAGUAACACGUGAGUAACCUGCCCUUGACUUUGGGAUAACUUCAGGAAACUGGGGCUAAUACCGGAUAGGAGCUCCUGCUGCAUGGUGGGGGUUGGAAAGUUUCGGCGGUUGGGGAUGGACUCGCGGCUUAUCAGCUUGUUGGUGGGGUAGUGGCUUACCAAGGCUUUGACGGGUAGCCGGCCUGAGAGGGUGACCGGCCACAUUGGGACUGAGAUACGGCCCAGACUCCUACGGGAGGCAGCAGUGGGGAAUAUUGCACAAUGGGCGGAAGCCUGAUGCAGCAACGCCGCGUGCGGGAUGACGGCCCUCGGGUUGUAAACCGCCUUCGCCUGUGACGAAGCGUGAGUGACGGUAAUGGGUAAAGAAGCACCGGCUAACUACGUG